AACGAACGCUGGCGGCAUGCCUAACACAUGCAAGUCGAACGAGACCUUCGGGUCUAGUGGCGCACGGGUGCGUAACGCGUGGGAACCUGCCCUUAGGUUCGGCAUAACUCCCCGAAAGGGGUGCUAAUACCGGAUAAUGUCUUCGGACCAAAGAUUUAUCGCCUUUGGAUGGGCUCGCGUUGGAUUAGCUAGUUGGUAGGGUAAAAGCCUACCACGGCGACGAUUCAUAGCUGGUCUGAGAGGCUGAUCAGCCACACUGGGACUGAGACACGGCCCAGACUCCUACGGGAGGCAGCAGAGGGUAAUAUAGGACAACGGGCGAAAUGCUGAACCAGCAAGGCCGGGAGAGUGAUGAAGGCCUUAGGGUUGUAAAGCUCUUGUACCCGGGAUGAUAAUGACAGUACCGGGAGAAUAAGCUCCGGCUAACUCCGUG
rnacentral:rRNA from 1 species